UACGUAGGGGGCAAGCGUUGUCCGGAAUCAUUGGGCGUAAAGCGCUCGUAGGUGGAUCGGUAAGUCUGCAAAGAAAGACCCGGGCUCAACUCGGGGAACGGUGUGGAUACUACCGAUCUUGAGGCAAUCAGAGGAUGAUGGAGUUCCCGGUGUAGCGGUGAAAUGCGUAGAUAUCGGGAGGAACACCAGUGGCGAAGGCGGCGCUCUGGCUCGCAACUGACGCUCAGGAGCGAAAGCGUGGGGAGCGAACAGG
rnacentral:rRNA from 1 species